rnacentral:rRNA from 1 species
GGACCAAGGAGUCUAGCAUGCGCGCGAGUCAUUGGGAACCGAUAAACCUAAAGGCGCAAUGAAAGUGAAGGUACGCCUCGAGCGGACCGAGGGAGGAUGGGGCUGCGCGGCGCCUCAAAAACGUCCGCGCGCCCUCGCACUCCCGGGGCGUCUCGCACUCAUCGCGAGGCGAGGCGCACCACGAGCGUGCACGCUGGGACCCGAAAGAUGGUGAACUAUGCCUGGUCAGGACGAAGUCAGGGGAAACCCUGAUGGAGGUCCGUAGCGAUUCUGACGUGCAAAUCGAUCGUCGGAACUGGGUAUAGGGGCGAAAGACUAAUCGAACCAUCUAGUAGCUGGUUCCCUCCGAAGUUUCCCUCAGGAUAGCUGGCACUCGAUCGAACCGCAUUUCUCUCCGGAAAAAUCGAACGAGUCUCAUCCGGUAAAGCGAAUGAUUAGAGGCAUUGGGGUCGAAACGGCCUCAACCUAUUCUCAAACUUUAAAUGGGUGAGAUCUCCGGCUUGCUUGACCUAUGAAGCCGGAGAUCGGAUCAACGGGUGCCAAGUGGGCCACUUUUGGUAAGCAGAACUGGCGCUGUGGGAUGAACCAAACGUCGAGUUAAAGCGCCAAAAUCGACGCUUAUGGGACACCAUGAAAGGCGUUGGUAACUUAAGACAGCAGGACGGUGGCCAUGGAAGUCGGA